rnacentral:rRNA from 1 species
AUGCAUUUUACUACCAAAAGUGUGAUUAACCAGCAGCAUUUCGGUUCAACCUGCCAGUCUGCUAGCCCUCCAUACCAACUGCCUUGUGGGGAUACUCAUUCAGCAAAAAAAAUUGAGGUUGGCAGUCUUGGGGCAUCACCAUCGUCGGCCAGUAAGGUGCUAUCAGGAUCAACUCCUGGGCCAUGUUUGGCUGAAGAUCUCUUUCUUGAAUUCCAGAAGUCCUUCUACUUUCGUAUUUCCAUCUUAUUUUAUUUCAAAAAGCAUGUGCGCAUUGAUUUCACUCUAUUUAGGUGUUACUCCCUCCAUUUCUAA